UACCAGCACCCCGAGUGGUCGGGACGAUUAUUGGGCCUAAAGCAUCCGUAGCCGGUUCUGCAAGUCCUCCGUUAAAUCCAGCUGCUCAACAGAUGGGCCGCGGAGGAUACUACAGAGCUAGGAGGCAGGAGAGGCAAGCGGUACUCGAUGGGUAGGGGUAAAAUCCGUUGAUCCAUUGAAGACCACCAGUGGCGGAGGCGGCUUGCCAGAACGCGCUCGACGGUGAGGGAUGAAAGCUGGGGGAGCAAACCGG
rnacentral:rRNA from 1 species